rnacentral:tRNA from 1 species
UCUAAUAUGGCAGAAUAGUGCAAUGGAUUUAAGCUCCAUAUAUAAAGGUUCCUCCCUUUUGUUAGAA